rnacentral:rRNA from 1 species
ACACAUGCAAGUCGAACGGAAAGGCCCUGCUUGCAGGGUGCUCGAGUGGCGAACGGGUGAGUAACACGUGGGUGAUCUGCCCCUUACUUUGGGAUAAGCCUGGGAAACUGGGUCUAAUACUGGAUAGGACCAUGCUGUAGGUGGUGUGGUGGAAAGAUUUUUUCGGUAAGGGAUGAGCUCGCGGCCUAUCAGCUUGUUGGUGGGGUAAUGGCCUACCAAGGCGUCGACGGGUAGCCGGCCUGAGAGGGUGGACGGCCACAUUGGGACUGAGAUACGGCCCAGACUCCUACGGGAGGCAGCAGUGGGGAAUAUUGCACAAUGGGCGCAAGCCUGAUGCAGCGACGCCGCGUGGGGGAUGACGGCCUUCGGGUUGUAAACUCCUUUCAGCCAUGACGAAGCCUCUUUUGGGGUGACGGUAGUGGUAGAAGAAGCACCGGCUAACUACGUGCCAGCAGCCGCGGUAAUACGUAGGGUGCGAGCGUUGUCCGGAWUACUYGGGCGUAAAGAGCUCGUAGGUGGUCUGUCGCGUCAUUUGUGAAAGCCCGGGGCUUAACUCCGGGUUGGCAGGUGAUACGGGCAUGACUGGAGUACUG